CGAGCAAGGUCAGCAUUUUCCAUCCAGCCUGUAUCCAAAGUUUUCUCUGGCCCUUCUUGUCAGUGGUCAUUCUAUGAGAGUGUUUUUGCUCUUUUGUUUCGAGGUGGGAUGCAAGCGUUGGUUUGGGCUAUCGGCACCAGAGGGCAGACGAACAAGGUCGUUUUUGGGGCUAACAGCACUGGAGUACAGACAAAUAAGGUCAGCAUUUUCCUGCCAGUAAGAAUCAGAAGGUACUUCUAGCGUGUUGAAAUUUUGGUGAAUGUAAGCACAUCCUUUGCCAUUUGCUUUUUUUCUGAUGGUGCACAACCUGGCAAGCAUGAGCAGAAUGGGAAGGAGGUCCUUGCAGUAAGAGUGCCCAUCCGUAUUGCCAGAGGAGCAGAGCCACGGGUCGAGGAGCCGAGCGACAAGCUCAGGUGCUCUUCUGCUGGCCUUGUGGGCAAUGGCAGGGACUUCAGGCCUGGGCAUUUAAGCAUUGCCCUCUUCUCUUUUGAGGGGCCAGCCCGGUAACCUUUGGCAAGAAAUGAGCGUCCCAGGUGAGUCGGGGAGGUAUCGAGGAGGAGCAGGGGUCCAGGGAAGGGUCAGAAAUGCCACUGAAAGCUUUUGUUCCCUGUUCCAGGUGUGCCAUGCAGUGGGAGCUGCAAGCUGCACCUCUUGCUGAAGACAGUGACACAAGGAGCGUGCUGCCUGCCUGCCACCGGAGACUGGAACUGUGCCGGCCUGGAGAGAGCUGAGACCACCGUGCCACAUGUUCUACCUUUUCCUUCUAGCCUUGUAAUAUUUCUGAAGGGCUAAAAGUGCAGCUUAACGGGACCCUGCACAGCCUGGGACAUGGCUGGGUGUGAGUUCCAGAGGACUAAAGCUGUCAGACCCCCUGAAGCUAAAAAGAGAACAUCAAAAAUGCAGCAGAUACUGAGGGAAAAAAAAAAGGCAGAAAACUACUUCCCCCCUUCACACACACACACCAGCUUGGCAGGAAAGGUGGCAGUACAGCAGGAGCAGGAAGAAUGUGUUGCUCUUCUGCUGGAACACGGUGCCGACCCGAAUCUGGCAGAUGCUGACGGUAACACUGCCCUUCACCUGGCUGUGCUGUCCAAAAAUACAGCUGUGGCAGGGCUGUUACUCCAGCAUAAUGCCAAGAGUGAUGCUCAGAACCAGCUCUCAAAGUGAAAACACCAGACUGGAAACCACUGUCCAACAGCUGAGAGAUCGCGUUGAAGCCCUUCAGAGAGACCUGCAAGCC